GAUAAGGCACAUUCUCAGGAAGCCAAGGACACACACCUCGGUCCGGGGGGCUUCCUCACUUUGUGCACCCCGUUUCCCCAUAUGGCAGUGGAAAGCCUGAGCUGCAGAACGCCGCUCACAUCCCAGCGCCCCGCAGGAAGCGGCAGCAACGAUGCUAUUACAUUCUACACUGGAAAAGGAUAAAUUGGAAUUUCAAAGGCUCUCAGCGGUCACUGGAGAAGAAACUUCUGCAGCAAAAUGCACGGCUUAUAGAAUUCACGAUCACAAACCCUGCUAAGCAAUGCUCUCCGUGUUACUAAGAAUGAAGACAUGGAGCCCUUCAUUUCCUGCUGCUGCUGUCCUGAUGCUGUGCGGCUCUUACAGUCUCUCCUCUGUCGGACCUGGCCAUAAUGUGCCCAAGAAUAAGAUCAGCCCUCUACUCAUGCAGAAAAACAACUCCAAAACAAGAUGGAAAUGUUGUCUGUGAGAGUCUAGCUUCGUUGUUUAUUACUUUCCAAAGCUAAGAAAAACCCAUGCAGACUUGCAUGCUCUUUAGAAACAGCCCUAGGAACACCAGCCAACCUACUGCUGACUCCCCAAUCCAUUCUCCUGCUUUCAGGGCACAACUGAACCGCUAAAAGCAGUGUAACUGAGUGAGGCAAAAAGAAGAACAUCCAUGCUAUUAUUAGACUUCAUCUCACUACUCUUCAUGUGAGAGCAGGGCUACAUAAAGACACCACAGCUACAGAAUAAAUAAUUACCAUAGAAAAUGUUUGUUCAGAGCCUGUACUCAUCACUUACAAGAAUAAUGGUUAAUGCACAGCUCAGUACACAAAAGGAGGAUUUGAUCCACAGAAAGACACUCUUUGACUGGCUGUGCCUUCUAACUAGAUGAGCCUUCAAAACAGAGCCUAAGCAGAACUGGAAGCCUUGAGAGAAGGCAUACCACGUUUCCUGGAUAUUCCACAGAAAAAGUUCCCUGGAGCCUUUAAAACAGUGUUGGUAUAAACUGAAUCAAAACAGGAGCAUCUGUUAAACAGCAAUACAGCAGUUCUUUUACCUCAAAUAAAUCUAACCUGAUCAAAAAGCUAUUUAAAAUGUAACAGAA